CACAAGCGGUGGAGCAUGUGGUUUAAUUCGAUGCAACGCGAAGAACCUUACCUACUCUUGACAUCCAGAGAACUUAGCAGAGAUGCUUUGGUGCCUUCGGGAACUCUGAGACAGGUGCUGCAUGGCUGUCGUCAGCUCGUGUUGUGAAAUGUUGGGUUAAGUCCCGCAACGAGCGCAACCCUUAUCCUUUGUUGCCAGCGGUUCGGCCGGGAACUCAAAGGAGACUGCCAGUGAUAAACUGGAGGAAGGUGGGGAUGACGUCAAGUCAUCAUGGCCCUUACGAGUAGGGCUACACACGUGCUACAAUGGCGUAUACAAAGAGAAGCGACCUCGCGAGAGCAAGCGGACCUCAUAA
rnacentral:rRNA from 1 species